rnacentral:lncRNA from 1 species
GGAUAUUUACGCUAUCCUGGUUGUUGUGUUUCUUUUUUUUUUUUUGAAAAAAUUUUUAAAUUUUUCUUUAAUCUUUGUUUAUUUUUGAGAGAGAGAGAGAGAGCUGGGGAGGACAGAGAGAGAGAGAAACACAGAAUCCAAAGAAGGCUUCAGGCUCUGGGCUGUCAGCGCAGAGCCCGAAGCGGGGCUCGAACUCACAAACCACGAGAUCAUGACCUGAGCUGAAGUCAGACACUUAACUGACUGAACCACUCAGAUGCCCCUAUCCUGGUUGUUUAAUAUUUGAUUGCCACCCCUGCUUCAGACCAUACAACAGCGUGAUUUCAUUUGAGGUCAAAUCCCAUGUGAGCACAGUUGACUGAAGCAAAUUUUCAUCUCACCAAAACAUAACACAUUUGCCAGCCUGUGCAUGCCAACACAGAUGAUUUAGGGUAUAACUGACUGCGACUGGCACUUACUCAAGCUGUGACAUUUUCUGUCAGCAGUUGGGUAGUAUAUGGAAAGCCAAUGGAACAAUUACAUGUUACAGAAGAGAACUGGAUUUUGGAAAAGAAGGAAAUAGAAAACAAGCCAGGUCUUCCACUUCAAACAGGUAGUGAGGAAGCUACAACACUGGCCAUCUUCCCCUCUUCCAACACUCUUCCUGUGACUGUCAGGGAAAGAGAGAACACUGACUUGACUAAUACAGGAUGAAAGCGUUUGGAGUCUUCUGUUUAGAGAAUGCAAAUGAAACAAAAAGAAUGUUAAUUAAAAGGACCUAGAAACCACCGAAAAUUAAAGGAAGAUGGAAAAUGAUAUUGACAAAAUAUCAUUCAAUUGGCAAAUCGAGGAGAGAGAGAAAAAUCAGAAGAUAGUUAUCACCGUUGAGAUGUGUAUCAAAGCUUAUGGGCCAGUCUUCCGGGAACUUUUUUUCAAGAUGGCCGACGGCACUACAAGGAAAUCACUUUUUUUGCCUUUCCACCUUCCUUUUUUUUCUACAGCAGACAAGUUGGCAGGAGCUUCAGCAGCUAGCUUGGAUCCUGAGUAAACACGAGGCUGGAGGUCAGGGGCUCCACAUAAUGACGAAAAAAGAUGGCACAAACUUAAAUCUCUGAUAACCACAGAGCUACCUACCAUCCCAGCUCUGGACUGUCCCCAGUAGGCUUCUUUUACUGGCGAGAAAAAUCAAACUUGAUCUUGUUUAAGCCACUUAUUUGAGUUUUCUAUCAAAAGCAGCUAAACCUGAUAUGUCAUAUCUUUGACAAAACUGGGCCAAUGAGAGAGAGACUGAGAAGGCUGUGUGUUUCAAGCAAUAUAGGAGAUUCUAAUACUUGGUAUCUGAGUGUUCUAAUCAGCUGGGUUUACUGGGUAAAAGGAACAGAAAGGGUAUGGAUAUCAGUUCAAUAAAGUCCUCCUGGGUGAAUGCCA